GUUACUUGCCUCGUGGUCACUAGAAAAUCGACCCCAUUUCAAGUUGAAGGGCCACCAGUCUGAGCCCAGGGAAGGCGGCUGCUGAGGUUUCAUAUUUUCCCCCUACCGAACUAUUCACCACAGAGCCCAAGUCCAAGAUUUACUAAGCACCUACUAUGUGCCCAGGCCUGUGUAUAUACAGAUGAACAAAGUCCAGCUCCUGCUCACAAAAGACUUUCUGACUAGCAGUAUGAAUACACCCCACUGAGGAAGAGAAAAGAAUGGAGAGCCAAGGAAGACAGUGGAGUUGCUCAGCAUCACACAGCUUGAGGUCAUGACAACAACAAUCAGAAUAAAAUCAGUGGCAACAACUACAAUUUAUGGAGGCCUUACUAUGUGCCAGGCGCUGUGCUAGGCCUUAUCUAACAGAAUCCUCCGAAGAACCCCAUGGCCUAUGGUCAUACUUAAUGGAUGAAGAAAAUCAGCUGGGAGAGGUUCCAGCAGCUGCCCAAGUUCACAGAGAUGACAAAUGGUGAAAGCCAAGAUUUGCUCCCAGGUCUGAGCCAUUAAAGGAGAUCAUUCACGGCCACCCACCCCAUCUCAGGAUGGCUCAGGACCCCUGUGUUUUUGAGGUAUUAGCUAUCUGACCUGUGGGCUUGCUGUCUGGUCAGGUUGGGUCUGGGAGUAGGUACCAGGUCCCAGGACAUUCCUGUUCAGAAUCUGCCCAGAAUGGAGUGGACUCAGGGUCCCUAGAACACCUCUCCCCCAAACUCAGGCAGCUUUGAGAGACCCAGAUACUCAGAGCUGGGCUCAGUUCUUUUUU